GUGCUCUUCUUGGCAGUACAUAUACUAAAAUUGGAACAAUACUGAACGAUUUGCAUAGGCCUUGCACAAAAAAAUGACAAGAAAAUUUGUGAAGCAUUCUUUAUUUAU